GCGGAAGUAGCUCAGCGGUAGAGCAUCGCCUUGCCAAGGCGGGGGUCGAGGGUUCGAAUCCCUUCUUCCGCUCCA
rnacentral:tRNA from 1 species